UUGCACUGUAUAGCGUUAGAUGCUAACUAAGAGCAUUUUAACUUCAGAACAGUGCGAUAAAAAUUUGCGAUUAUCAAAGUAGCAGCUAUUUAAAUUAACUGCUUCUUCAAGUGUCGUAGAACAUUU
rnacentral:snoRNA from 1 species